AUCAUCUGAUUCUGAGUGACAGAAAACUCCCCAAAUCUGUAAUUUGGGAUGAAGCAUAAUUAUUAUUUGCUCCAGAAAGGGAAAUAUUUAAAGAAGGAAAGGAGAAAGAUGAGCUGAUCAAAAUGAAAGAAUGCACUGACUGCCUGGGACCACUGUUAAGGAUAAUUGCACAGUAAAAGCCUGACUGGAAAUAG